CCGACUGAGCCACCCAGGCGCCCCUGGCUGGUUGUUGUUGUUGUUGUUGUUGUUGUUGUUGUUGUUUAUCAGCUGCUUCACAUCCUCUUGGGAGGACUUCUCUACCUUUUUGGAUUGCAGCUUUGUAAAGGUUGGCUUGCACACCCAUCAGCUUGUUUGCCCACAUGUGUGGAGAGGUUUGUCUACACUGAGGAGGGGGUUGUGGCAUAGAAUAGGGACAAAUGCUGUGAAUGCCUGAGGUUAUUAAGACUUAAUUAUAGAACUAUUAAGCUGAGCCACAUGAAGUUGCCAUCAUCGUAGGCCAACAGUGACUGGCAUUGGCCGUUUCAUACCGUUCAGUCUGAUAAAGCUUCAUUGAGAGAAGCUUGGGUUGUAGAAGGAAAAAUCGCUUGUUGAGAAGAGUGUCAUUUUUAAUAAGUCCUUUUAUUUAUCACGUACAUGUGGGUUUUGAUUAGUUAUGGUCAUAGGGCACAGGUAGUUUUUUAUCUCCUCCCCCCCCCCUUUUUUUUUUAUCCAGGAGCACUUUAUUUUUUAUUUUAGAGAAGCGUGCAUGCUAAUGGGGGAGGAAGAGAGAGAGUGAAUAUCUUAAGCAGGCUCCAUGCUUAGCUUGGACCCCUACACGGGGCUCGAUCCCACAACCGUGAAAUCACGACCUGAGCUGAAGUCAAGAGUCCAUGCUUACCUGACUGACACUCAGGUUCCCCUUAUCCUCCUUUUUAAGAGCCAACAUGACCAACAGUGAGCUUCCCCCUACGCACCCCCUCCACCCCCCGUCUGUUCAAAUGACCCAGAUCUGGAACACUGACAAUACCAAGUGCUGGCAUCAUGGAGCAUCCGGAGCUUACAUUCGUUGCUGGUGGGAAUGCAAAUGGUACAGACCCAUUGGAAGAGUUUAGCAGGUUUUUACAAAACUAAACCUAUAUUCCAGCAGCCGUGCUCCUUGGUAUUUACCCAAAAGAGCUGAAAAAUUAUGUCCACACAGAAAUCUGCACAUGGGUGUUUAGAGCAGCUUUAUUCAUAAUUGCUAAAACUUGGAAGCCACCAAGGUGUCCCUCAGCAGGUGAGCGGAUGGACAGACUGUGGCCCACUCCAGUGGAAAACUGGUGAGCGCUAAAGAGAAAGAAGCUGUCAAGCCAUGAGCAGACACGGGAAACCUAAAUGCACCGAGUGAAAGAGGCCAGCCUGAAAAGGCUACAGUCUGUGCGAUUCCGGCAACAGGACAUUCUGGAAACGGCACACUGUAGAGACCGUAAGAAGGCCAGUGGCUGUUGGGUCGGGGGAGAGGAAAGACUGAAAUAGGUGGAGCGUGCGGGACUUGUAGGAACUUCUGGCGGAACUCCUUUGUGUGAUGAUGCUCUGUGGUGGGUGCUCGGCGGUAAACCACGACUGCGCGAUAACGACGUAUCGACGGGGGUCCCUCCCUUACAACCGAGGCCCCGCUCUGGAGGGGAGUGCUGGUCCUGGGAGAGGCUGUGCAUGGGUUGGGUGGCAGGUAGAUGGGAAAUCUCUGUGCCUUCUGCUCAGCUUUGCCGUGACCCUAAAACUGCUCUGAAAAGUCAAGUCCACUCGAAACAACUUCCGUGACCUAGGACUUUGCCCAGGCGAGCAAGAAGUCUUCCCAGCUGUCCUUCCUUAAUGGCUCCUUAGAGCAGAGCAGAGCAGAUGAUGGACACAGCCCUAAC